rnacentral:lncRNA from 1 species
CAUCUCCCCACUUUUCUGCAUGCCUACAGCCCUCGUGCACCCAACCCUGGCAAGCCUUUUUUUACCCCUGUAAUGGCUCCUGCGCCCGUGCGCGUGGCUGUGGGAGCUCCCUGUCCUGCCCAGCACGAAGAUGGACACAGCCCCUCUGCAAGGACGGUGUGAGCAUGCAGCAGCAGCAGCAAUGGCAGCAGCAGGCUGGGAAGCACAGCGCGGUUCCUUGAAGGGCAGUGGUGCUACGACUCGCAGGACCCGAAGUGCGG